AGUGAACGCUGGCGGUAGGCCUAACACAUGCAAGUCGAACGGCAGCGCAGGAGAGCUUGCUCUCUGGGUGGCGAGUGGCGGACGGGUGAGGAAUACAUCGGAAUCUACUUUUUCGUGGGGGAUAACGUAGGGAAACUUACGCUAAUACCGCAUACGACCUACGGGUGAAAGCAGGGGAUCUUCGGACCUUGCGCGAUUGAAUGAGCCGAUGUCGGAUUAGCUAGUUGGCGGGGUAAAGGCCCACCAAGGCGACGACCCGUAGCUGGUCUGGGAGGAUGAUCAGCCACACUGGAACUGAGACACGGUCCAGACUCCUACGGGAGGCAGCAGUGGGGAAUAUUGGACAAUGGGCGCAAGCCUGAUCCAGCCAUACCGCGUGGGUGAAGAAGGCCUUCGGGUUGUAAAGCCCUUUUGUUGGGAAAGAAAUCCAGCUGGCUAAUACCCGGUUGGGAUGACGGUACCCAAAGAAUAAGCACCGGCUAACUUCGUGCCAGCCGCCGCAGUAA
rnacentral:rRNA from 1 species